rnacentral:rRNA from 1 species
CCUACGGGAGGCAGCAGUGGGGAAUAUUGGACAAUGGGCGAAAGCCUGAUCCAGCAAUGCCGCGUGAGUGAUGAAGGCCUUAGGGUUGUAAAGCUCUUUUACCAGGGAUGAUAAUGACAGUACCUGGAGAAUAAGCUCCGGCUAACUCCGUGCCAGCAGCCGCGGUAAUACGGAGGGAGCUAGCGUUGUUCGGAAUUACUGGGCGUAAAGCGUACGUAGGCGGUUAUUCAAGUCAGAGGUGAAAGCCUGGAGCUCAACUCCAGAACUGCCUUUGAAACUAGAUAGCUAGAAUCUUGGAGAGGUGAGUGGAAUUCCGAGUGUAGAGGUGAAAUUCGUAGAUAUUCGGAAGAACGCCAGUGGCGAAGGCGACUCACUGGACAAGUAUUGACGCUGAGGUACGAAAGCGUGGGGAGCAAACAGGAUUAGACACCCUGGUAGUCCACGCCGUAAACGAUGAUAACUAGCUGUUCGGGCUCUACGAGCUUGAGUGGCGCNGCUACGCAUUAAGUUAGUCCGUCCGUCGGGAGGUACGGUCGCGAGAAGUUAAACUAACUAAUUAGAAGUUAGUUACGGCGUGAGACGUUGCGACGGACGACGACGAGGGAGGAGG